CGGCGCGUCCAUGGUACAGCCGCGACUAGACGGGGCGAAGCGGCGACUGGGAAAGGACAGGAGUCAGUCAGCUGUAGCAGUGACAGAAGAAAGGCAGCUUCUACCUGCACCGAGCAUCGCCAAGCAGUACCAGAGAAGCACGAGAAUACGAAAGGCGAGUCCAGCGGUGCCAGCCUCCCCUCAGUCGGACUUACUACUACUGCCUUCACAACACCCUCCCAGUAGUGCCUUGUACUCGUGUAUUUUUGUUAUCCAUCCAUCCUGGUGAGAAAGCAGGAGGCAGCUGCAGGGAAGACAUUGUUGAUAUUGUGCCCUCUACGCGUGAGCCGCCCCUCGCUGAACCACACCGCCGGACUCUGAACGUGAGGGGAAAUCUGCUGCAGUUCCCCUCCUCCCUCAUGAUGUGACACAAACACCACAAUGGCUGGUGUGUAGUAGUAGAUACGAGAGAGUUAGUUCAUAAGUGUGUGUGUGUGUACUCAACGGCGACGAGAUUCGUUCAAUGGAUGAGAGAGAAGAGCAUUUUUAGUUAUUUUCCCAGCCCCUCUCAUGCCCCCUCAUCUAAAAUUAUGAUUUUUUCUUUAGACAGGUGUGACCCCCGCUGACCGGAAGAGACGGUUGCAUCGCGGUUCACACAGGCAUGACGCGCUAGAUGAUCGACGAUCGAUUUUUUCUUCUAGACAGGUGACCCCCGCUGACCGGAAGAGACGGUUGUCGGUUCCACACAGGACGCGCUAGAUGAUUCCAUUCACACAUUCUGUCAAGAGGACAUAACACAAAAAACGGAUGAUGGAAUGGAAUAAAAAAAAAUUGUCAAAUA